rnacentral:misc_RNA from 1 species
UCCGGUUUGUCACCGGCAGUCUCAUUAGAGUGCCCAACUAAAUGUAGCAACUAAUGACAAGGGUUGCGCUCGUUGCGGGACUUAACCCAACAUCUCACGACACGAGCUGACGACAGCCAUGCAGCACCUGUGUUAGCGUUCCCUUUCGGGCACCCUCACAUCUCUGCGAGGUUCGCUACAAGUCAAGGGUAGGUAAGGUGGGGAUGAGUGGCCUUCCAUCACA